CUUUCGGUGAGGCUGUCCCAAAGCCCGGAUUCAAAGAGAGGAGACAGACCUCACAUUUCUUCGGAGGGUAAACACCAUAAACUGUUGUUGGAGGCAGCGUAUAAGUCGGAGGGUGCGAGAAACUCCAAAACUUGGCUUCCUGCAUUAUCUCAGCAAGCAUUUAUUGAAUGCCUACUGUGGGCCAGCAGUUAAACAGGCAGCUCCAAGAGGAUUGGAAGAACAGAAUAAGAGCCCCCUGCCUACCCACUGGCCGCCAUGUUAUCUGACUCUUCACCUCUCUUGAAUCCCAAAAGAUGACUCAGGCAGCUUUUAUUUCCUUGGUUUUCA